UGAUCUGUACUUCCACACCUCCUUGAUUUGGAACAUCCCCACCUUGGAAAGAUCUUUCGUCUUGCUUGUCAUCAAUUUCUCUUAUCUUAGCUCUAUGUAGUUCUAAACUACUUUGAAGAAAUAUGUUUUCCUCAGAUAGCUGUUCAAGAUGCAUUCUUACUUCUUUUAGCUCAACCUCUAACUGUCUGCGUUCCCCAUGAUCCUUAGAUAUCCUCUCAUGAAGAACAAGAAGCUCAGAUGUAAGUCUCUCCAUUUCACGAUCAGAAUACUCCUUGUCCUCUUCAAGUUUCUUUCUGUCCUUCGUGACCACAACAAGGUCUCUCCUUAAGUUGGCAUUUUCCACCUGUAGGGCUUCCACCAAGCCUUUACAAUUAGACAAAUCCAUGGAUAGCUUCUCAUUCACAUUAGCAAGACACUCCUUGUCCUCUUCAAGCUUCUUGUUCUUCUCUGUCACUGAAGCAAGAGUUCCACUUAAGUU
rnacentral:misc_RNA from 1 species